AAAUUAUUUACUUCAUGCUUCAUCAAAAUGAGUUAUAAUAUUCAACAUGUCGUGUAGCUCUCAAUUCGAAACCAUUAGUCUCUUCCAGCUAAAAAGAAUCAAUUGCUACAUGUAGGAAAAAUUUCGAGAAUAUAUAUGAGUUGAUAGCUCAAUGAAUGAAGAAGUUCUAAAAUAAUUAUACUUUUUCAAUUUUACAUCUUUAUCGAAAAUCGAGUUCGUAUCAUUGAAUAACUUACAAGAUAACAUUAUAUAAUUAUAACCAAAACUUGAGACAUUCAUAUAAUGCGAUAAAAUAUCAUCUCAAGUCAUGAUAUAAACAUAAGCUGGUAAUCAUGCUAUAACCUCAUCACAUCAAAUGUACUAGAAAAUCUAUCAAAAAUCUACCCUUUGACUAAAAUCUGUAAUCCGCCCAUCGGGCCAAGCACUUUCGCCACAGGCCUUUGUCCCCCUCCGUGAACGAAAAUGGAUCUCAAAGACCUCUGAUAAUCAAUUCUAGAACACAACCAAGGCCCCUCAGUGAACUAUAUGUACAUGGUCAUGACCCCUUCAUCCCUAGUUGACCCCUUAGUGCGAUAUAGAAUACGGCCGAGGCCCCUCUAUGAACUAGAAGAAAUAUAUAAUCACGAGUACUUUUCUGAUCGAUCUUAAUAUCACAUGUCUCACAUUGCAAAUCACAAAUAUUUUUAUAUCUAAUCUUUGAAUUUCACAAAUAUCAGAAUGAAAGAAUAUUUCCAAAAUAAUCAUGUAAUCGAACAUAUAAAUGCACAUAAUGUAUUGGUAUAAUUAAUUUAUCAAUACUUGAAAAUAUUUAGGGUUUUUCCACUCACAGGACUAAUUCGAUCGUCAAGUGUCCUGACCUCGAUAUUUCCUGAAAAAUGUGACAUUGCUUCAUAUUAGCAACCAUUUAAUCCAACCCCCUAACCAAUGGACCAAAUAAAUAUCCAAUUGCAGUCACUUUCUAAUUGAAAAUAAUUACUAUUGUUUAAAGGUAAAAGAAGAAUUUAAAGCAGAGUCCCAUUCUUUUCUCUCUUGUUGCAGGUACCAAUUAAUAACAAUUGGUCAAAUCAAUAAUCAAAACUCCUUU
rnacentral:lncRNA from 1 species